UACGUAGGGGGCUAGCGUUGUCCGGAUUUAUUGGGCGUAAAGAGCGUGUAGGCGGCCUGGUAGGUCUGCUGUGAAAACUCGAGGCUCAACCUCGAGAUGUCGGCGGAAACCAUCUGGCUAGAGUCCGGAAGAGGAGAGUGGAAUUCUUGGUGUAGCGGUGAAAUGCGCAGAUAUCAGGAAGAACACCUAUGGCGAAGGCGGAUCUCUGGGCCAUUACUGACGCUGAGGAGCGAAAGCGUGGGGAGCGAACAGG
rnacentral:rRNA from 1 species